AAAAAAAAGUAUGUCAACUGUCAGCACUUUAAGGAUUGCUAUUAUAUUUCCAAUAGUAUUGUAUAGAAGGAUGGUUUAUUAGUAUGGAUGAGUGCAAGCAUAAUGGCUACUGAAGCCAUGAACUGUAAAGACCUUACCCAUCUGGAACUGGUAGUAGUAGAUCCACUGUCAAAGCUUAGGAAUGAGCUUGCUUUGGGGUACAGACAUUACUCUUAAGCAUACUUGAAAUAUAAUUUCACAUCUUUACACCUUAAAAAUUACACUUACAAGAUGAUGCUUCCAAAUUGUGAAGUAUUUAAGGGAUUUAUUCAAAUAAUAUAACUUCUUCAAGCGAUGCUUCUGUUGCAUGACAUGGCCGUAGGCAGCAUAUGCUGUGCCUGCAUUGAAAGAAAAAAAUAGAGCUUGGCUUCCUGUGAAGCAACAUUCAACUUCUAUGAAAUGUGCUGCUGACUAUGCUGGGCUUGGUAUGUCAUGGUGCUCUGUAGUCGUCUUUGCUGUGCAGUAAGAGCAGCGGAAAGAUUGGCUAUCUAAUUGGUCUUUGACACGAGCUGUGUAAAUUAUGAAAGCAUCAGCUGUUGGUACUAUCAUAUUGAUAAGUUGAGCAUAGCCUUGCAAGCCAGCAAGUGUUCCAUCUGUGAGGCUGGUGUGUGACGCUGAUCUAAGAAUGAGCGUGCUCCCUUAGAUGGUUAACAUUUUAGUCCUUUUAUGGUGGGGUGCUUUCAUUCAUGGCAUGAUUUUUUAACUGCAGCUGUAACUAGUAAUUGGCACAACCUGUGUCCUCGGUUAUUGGGAUUUCUUCCAGCUGGAAUUUAAAUACACCCCAAUGUGCACACAAUGUGCCCUUGUCUAAUUUUAAAAAUACUUAACAUACUGAGGCAGCAGGGCAUAGGAAGGACUCUGAGAGAAAUGGAGUAACUGCCAAUGCUGUUGCCAAUCCUGUGUUUUGAUUCAAGUAGAACAAACAGUGCAGUAAGCCGAAUGUUUGUCACUUCAGAAUUUUAUUUAAGUUGCUGUUAUGAAACCAUGACUCUCAUUCUAAUGAAAAUAUUAGAGAUGAGAGAAGCAUGUUCGAGACUUGCUUGCUAAAUGCACGUUAAAUAAUCUGGACUUUCUUUGCAAGGUACUGAAUAAUCCUGUUGUUCUGUCAGUGUUCAGCUGUGUGCAACUUAAUAUUAGAACUCAUAUCCUAGACUUAAUGUAGCAUCUGCUGAAACUUGCCGACCUUUCAGUGAAUGUCUUUUUUAAGUAUACAAUUGCUUCCAUGUUUAUGCCAGAUUUACAUUCCAAUGUGGCAUGAAGUGAAUACUGUGAAGCAGGAUGUUAAUUCAGUGGCUUUCAAAGAGCGCGUGGAGACUGGCAGUUGCACUUCAAAAUGAGGAAAUGAGCUUCUUGAUCUUGUCCGGAUGGAGGGCAAUUUAGAAGGACACUGCAAGCAGAGCAGUUGGGCCCUGAAAGUCUUUUUUCAACAGAGCAGCAGGAUAUCCAGCAAUCAGCAGUACGAAGUCUCAUUCCAGGAAAUGGCUGAGGCACUUCGCUGAAACUCUGCAAAAUAAUUAAAUAAAAGAUUCAGCCAAAGAGAGACACCUGGUUUGGAAAACUUCCCCCUUCACGCAUCUGACAACAUGAUAAACAGAUGAAAAGCAGGAUUUUUUUCAACAGAAGAAGAAAGUAAUGCCGAUUGUACUAGUAGCUCUAUCUGCAUUUUUUUGUUAUGUUGCUUUAAUUUAUACUACAUCCCUGCAGGCUGUUUUUGGAGCACAUCCCUUUGUUCUGCAAGGCACUCAUCAUGUACACAGCAACAGGAGGGGGCUUAGUUUCUUGCUGCUGUUCAUGGAAGGAGGACUUCCCACCCCAAGAAAGAGAAGACCAGGUGAAACUUGAGGAGGCUGCGAUGACACUGGAGGCACAGCUUCAGGGAUUUUAGCACUGUGCGUCACACUUGUGUGACCCAUGACCAACCUGCAAUGUUGUGCCUGAUGUAUGGAAAGAGCUCUGCUUCUCUGGAGAGCGUCACAGAGGCUGCAGGGGUCUGGAGCUGGCAACCCCCUGGGGCAGGCGACAGCACCCUGUGACACCUGGUGCGUCAUCUGCAGCUGAGCUCCCAGAAAGGUCAGGCAGGAGACUGAUAAAUGACCCCGCCUUGUCAACACUGCUGUCAUUAGUGCUGUUAUCACCCUGCAAAUGGGAACAUGAAGGAAUUUGUAUCACUGCCCUUGCCAAAGCUGGAGAGCAACUGGGAACAGGAGCUGUGGAGGUGACUGUUCACACCACUUACAUUCUCCUGCAAAGCAGCACAAUGUUUGGUUUGUAACCAAAGGGAUUUUGUAGCAGAUCAUUAAGCAUCAUUUCAGAUUGAUGGAACGUAUAGGUUCUCUGAUGAUGACAAGGUUUGUUUCAAAGGGACAAAACACUUCAGCAUGCACUGGCAUGGCUAGAACACUAACAAAUCACUGGCCUGGUGGAAAGCCCAGAAAUGCUCUCAUAUCCCUUUUCUAAUGCAGGUGGACAAACACACAUCCAAAAGUGGCAGGUAAUGUAGCCUGCACUGGAAAUGGGCCCACCUGGCCACGUUGAUUUUGACAAGUAAUUUGACAGCACUGUGAGUGGCAGGAGCAGUGUGAUUUACUCAAAAGUUGAGUACUCUGGAAAAAAAAAGAACCACAACUAAAUUUGCAUGUAAUGAGGUGCAUUUUAAAAUCAAAACAAUUAACAGCUAUGUUAUUUUUUCUUCCUUUGCUUUUGCUUGGUGCACAGUCAGUCCUGUUGCUUAAGAUUCCUAUUGAAUCCCUUUUGGUGGGAAUCUGAUGUGAAGCAGGGAGCCUGGCAGCCCCUCCAAGUACCUCCAUGUACAACCAGCAGUGUUAGUGGAGUUUUGUCAGCACAUGGGAGACAUAAGGGGCUGGCCAAUCUGGCCCAUCAAGUCCUGGUUUGCAAACUCUGCUCAACUAACAAUUGGAUCCAUAGGUCCUGACUGGUCUGUUUGUGAAAAUUAUCUAAAGUGACAAGCAAGGUCACUCACAACUGACUCAUAUAAGGUGACUGGCUCAUUCUUGUAUGGGGUGUGCUGGGUGUUACAGCUAUUUGUGACCUCAGACUGAGCACUGUGGCCUUUUGGUUCAGAAACAUAUUGUUCAACGAGAUGUUCUGUGAAUUUGGUAACCUCAGUAUUCUAUGAGAAGUGUUUGAUUUUACAGAAGAAAGCCUAAAGACAUUUGAAAUGUCUUGUUUCUGCAACUCUGAAUCAAUUUCUUUUCAUCAGGUAACACCUGGUGCUUUUGCCAGUGCUGAGCAGCACUUUACAUUCUAUACUCUAAAAUCUUUGGAUCAGUUAUGCAUGGAUGCAAGAAAAUAAAAUCCCAUUGUAUAUCUUUGCUCAC